GACGAACCGUGCGAACGUUGUUCGGAAUCACUGGGCUUAAAGGGUGCGUAGGCGGGCCGCCAAGUCCGGGGUGAAAUCCUCCAGCUCAACUGGAGAACUGCCUCGGAUACUGGAGGUCUAGAGGGAGACAGGGGCACGCGGAACUGUGGGUGGAGCGGUGAAAUGCGUUGAUAUCCAUAGGAACUCCGGUGGCGAAGGCGGCGUGCUGGAUCUCUUCUGACGCUGAGGCACGAAAGCCAGGGGAUCAAACGGG
rnacentral:rRNA from 1 species